rnacentral:rRNA from 1 species
CGAACGCUGGCGGCAGGCUUAACACAUGCAAGUCGAGCGCCCCGCAAGGGGAGCGGCAGACGGGUGAGUAACGCGUGGGAAUCUACCGAGCCCUGCGGAAUAGCUCCGGGAAACUGGAAUUAAUACCGCAUACGCCCUACAGGGGAAAGAUUUAUCGGGGUUUGAUGAGCCCGCGUUGGAUUAGCUAGUUGGUGGGGUAAAGGCCUACCAAGGCGACGAUCCAUAGCUGGUCUGAGAGGAUGAUCAGCCACAUUGGGACUGAGACACGGCCCAAACUCCUACGGGAGGCAGCAGUGGGGAAUAUUGGACAAUGGGCGCAAGCCUGAUCCAGCCAUGCCGCGUGAGUGAUGAAGGCCCUAGGGUUGUAAAGCUCUUUCAACGGUGAAGAUAAUGACGGUAACCGUAGAAGAAGCCCCGGCUAACUUCGCGCCAGCAG